rnacentral:rRNA from 1 species
GACGAACGCUGGCGGCGUGCUUAACACAUGCAAGUCGAACGGAAAGGCCCUGCUUUUGUGGGGUGCUCGAGUGGCGAACGGGUGAGUAACACGUGAGUAACCUGCCCUUAACUUUGGGAUAACUUCAGGAAACUGGGGCUAAUACCGGAUAGGAGCUCCUGCCGCAUGGUGGGGGUUGGAAAGUUUCGGCGGUUGGGGAUGGACUCGCGGCUUAUCAGCUUGUUGGCGGGGUAGUGGCUUACCAAGGCUUUGACGGGUAGCCGGCCUGAGAGGGUGACCGGCCACGUUGGGAGUUAGAUACGGCCAAGACUCGUACGGGAGGCAGCAGUGGGGAGUAUUGCACAAUGGGCGGAAGCCUGAUGCAGCAACGCCGCGUGCGGGAUGACGGCCUUCGGGUUGUAGACCGCUUUCGCCUGUGACGAAGCGUGAGUGACGGUAAUGGGUAAAGAAGCACCGGCUAACUACGUG